AGCAGCCGCGGUAAUUCCAGCUCCAAUAGCGUAUAUUAAAGUUGUUGCAGUUAAAAAGCCGUAGUUGAAUUUCGGGAUCAGUACGCUGGUCAUGCCUUUGGUAUGCACUGGUGUCACUGUUUCUCCCUUCUGAAGAUCCGUGAUGUCAUUAAUUUGGUGUCGCGGGGAAUCAGGACUUUACUUUGAAAAAUUAGAGUGUUUAA
rnacentral:rRNA from 1 species